AUGCCCCUGCGAGGAAACGCUAAGUAAUAAAUAAUAAUUGCGACCAAUUUAGCUCUUUCUUUUACAAAGCAUGUCGUAAAGAUUCGUGUCCUUAAAGUUGAAUUCUUCGUCACAUUUCAUAAACGGGUGAUUUAAUAAUUCCUCUGCGGUUGGCCUUACAUCAGCAUUCACAGUAAAGCAUGCAUUCAAAAAUUGAAUCGCUUCGGGUGAUACCUGAGACACCAAUUCACUAGGAAUAGGAGGCGCCUUUUUCUCGGUACCUAACUUGAACAUAGCUUGGAUAGCCUCAUCUGUAGACCACGGUCUACGACCAGCUAACAUUUCCAACACUACACAUCCCAAGGACCAGACGUCGACCUUAGCACUAUAUCCUUGAUGAUCAUUAUGAAUUACUUCAGGUGCCAUCCAAAAGAUGGAUCCUUGCAUGGACAGGUUUGCGUCAUUGUCAUACACAUUAUCACUAUGCUUAGAUAUUCCAAAGUCUGAAAUUUUGCAAACUCCAUCAAAAUCAAUGAGCAAAUUGUCAGCCUUUAAAUCUCGAUGUAUAAUACCUUUAGAAUGUAAGUAAGACAACCCGUAGAGCACCUGGCGUGAUACAAAACGGACCAGUUGCUCUUCGAAAGGACCAUAAUUCCGCAAACAUCGACCAAUUGAACCACCUGAAACAUAUUCCAGGAAUAUACUUAUAUCCGUUUCCGUCUUUUCGAAACCCAGAUAUUGCACUAUAUUUAAGUGAUCCAAAUCGGCAAUCAUAGAAAUUUCUGCAUUAAUGGAAUCCACGAUAUCUUUGCGUAAUUGGUCAUGACGGC